rnacentral:rRNA from 1 species
GACGAACGCUGGCGGCGUGCCUAAUACAUGCAAGUCGAACGCUUCUUUCCUCCCGAGUGCUUGCACUCAAUUGGAAAGAGGAGUGGCGGACGGGUGAGUAACACGUGGGUAACCUACCCAUCAGAGGGGGAUAACACUUGGAAACAGGUGCUAAUACCGCAUAACAGUUUAUGCCGCAUGGCAUACGAGUGAAAGGCGCUUUCGGGUGUCGCUGAUGGAUGGACCCGCGGUGCAUUAGCUAGUUGGUGAGGUAACGGCUCACCAAGGCCACGAUGCAUAGCCGACCUGAGAGGGUGAUCGGCCACACUGGGACUGAGACACGGCCCAGACUCCUACGGGAGGCAGCAGUAGGGAAUCUUCGGCAAUGGACGAAAGUCUGACCGAGCAACGCCGCGUGAGUGAAGAAGGUGUUCGGAUCGUAAAACUCUGUUGUUAGAGAAGAACAAGGACGUUAGUAACUGAACGUCCCCUGACGGUAUCUAACCAGAAAGCCACGGCUAACUACGUG